UACGUAGGGGGCAAGCGUUGUCCGGAAUCAUUGGGCGUAAAGAGCGUGUAGGCGGCCCGAUAAGUCCGCUGUGAAAGUCCAGGGCUCAACCCUGGAAUGCCGGUGGAUACUGUCGGGCUCGAAUCCGGAAGAGGUGAGUGGAAUUCCUGGUGUAGCGGUGAAAUGCGCAGAUAUCAGGAGGAACACCGAUGGCGAAGGCAGGUCUCUGGGCUGACACUGACGCUCAUGCACGAAAGCGUGGGGAGCAAACAGG
rnacentral:rRNA from 1 species